UUGCUUAUGUUUUCAUAACUAUUUACGUUACUUUUGUAGGAGUACCUAUGUUUUAUUAUUUGAUUUAGUCUUGCUUGUGUUUCUAAUUUUAUCUCUGUUUCUUAAUGCAGCUUCCCCAUUUUUACUCUACUCGGCGAGGGUCGAUUGGAAGCAGCCUCUCUGCCCUUUCGGGCAGGGGUAAGGCUCGUCUACAUAUUACCCUCCCCAGACCCCACCUGAUGGGA
rnacentral:lncRNA from 1 species